GCCAAGUGAUGUGCCUGCUCCUGCUUCACCUUCCACCAUGAGUAAAAGCUCCCUGAGGCCUCACCAGAAGCUUAGCAGAUGCAGGUGCCAUGACUCCUGUAUAGCCUGCAGAACUGGUUGUGGAUUUGGGAAGAAGUGGUUCAGUCCACCACCUUGUUUUCCUCCUACCUAAUUUAAAUCGAUGCCAUGAAAGCCAUCAUAGAGAUGUUUUGUGAAAAUCAAAAGAAAAAUCAUGAGAGAAUUA